rnacentral:rRNA from 1 species
GAGUUUGAUCCUGGCUCAGAUUGAACGCUGGCGGCAGGCCUAACACAUGCAAGUCGAGCGGUAGCACAGAGAGCUUGCUCUCGGGUGACGAGCGGCGGACGGGUGAGUAAUGUCUGGGAAACUGCCUGAUGGAGGGGGAUAACUACUGGAAACGGUAGCUAAUACCGCAUAAUGUCGCAAGACCAAAGUGGGGGACCUUCGGGCCUCAUGCCAUCAGAUGUGCCCAGAUGGGAUUAGCUAGUAGGUGGGGUAACGGCUCACCUAGGCGACGAUCCCUAGCUGGUCUGAGAGGAUGACCAGCCACACUGGAACUGAGACACGGUCCAGACUCCUACGGGAGGCAGCAGUGGGGAAUAUUGCACAAUGGGCGCAAGCCUGAUGCAGCCAUGCCGCGUGUGUGAAGAAGGCCUUCGGGUUGUAAAGCACUUUCAGCGGGGAGGAAGGCGUUAAGGUUAAUAACCUUGGCGAUUGACGUUACCCGCAGAAGAAGCACCGGCUAACUCCGUGCCAGCAGCCGCGGUAAUACGGAGGGUGCAAGCGUUAAUCGGAAUUACUGGGCGUAAAGCGCACGCAGGCGGUCUGUCAAGUCGGAUGUGAAAUCCCCGGGCUCAACCUGGGAACUGCAUUCGAAACUGGCAGGCUAGAGUCUUGUAGAGGGGGGUAGAAUUCCAGGUGUAGCGGUGAAAUGCGUAGAGAUCUGGAGGAAUACCGGUGGCGAAGGCGGCCCCCUGGACAAAGACUGACGCUCAGGUGCGAAAAGCGUGGGGAGCAAACAGGAUUAGAUACCCUGGUAGUCCACGCCGUAAACGAUGUCGAUUUGGAGGUUGUGCCCUUGAGGCGUGGCUUCCGGAGCUAACGCGUUAAAUCGACCGCCUGGGGAGUACGGCCGCAAGGUUAAAACUCAAAUGAAUUGACGGGGGCCCGCACAAGCGGUGGAGCAUGUGGUCUAAUUCGAUGCAACGCGAAGAACCUUACCUGGUCUUGACAUCCACAGAACUUUCCAGAGAUGGAUUGGUGCCUUCGGGAACUGUGAGACAGGUGCUGCAUGGCUGUCGUCAGCUCGUGUUGUGAAAUGUUGGGUUAAGUCCCGCAACGAGCGCAACCCUUAUCCUUUGUUGCCAGCGGUUCGGCCGGGAACUCAAAGGAGACUGCCAGUGAUAAACUGGAGGAAAGUGGGGAUGACGUCAAGUCAUCAUGGCCCUUACGACCAGGGCUACACACGUGCUACAAUGGCAUAUACAAAGAGAAGCGACCUCGCGAGAGCAAGCGGACCUCAUAAAGUAUGUCGUAGUCCGGAUUGGAGUCUGCAACUCGACUCCAUGAAGUCGGAAUCGCUAGCAAUCGUAGAUCAGAAUGCUACGGUGAAUACGUUCCCGGGCCUUGUACACACCGCCCGUCACACCAUGGGAGUGGGUUGCAAAAGAAGUAGGUAGCUUAACCUUCGGGAGGGCGCUUACCACUUUGUGAUUCAUGACUGGGGUGAAGUCGUAACAAGGUAGCGUA